rnacentral:rRNA from 1 species
GACGAACGCUGGCGGCGUGCUUAACACAUGCAAGUCGAACGAGAGCGUAGAGAAAGCUUGCUUUUUCUACAAUCUAGUGGCAAACGGGUGAGUAACGCGUAAACAACCUGCCCUACGGAUGGGGACAACAGCUGGAAACGGCUGCUAAUACCGAAUACGUUCCGAAAGUCGCAUGACUAUCGGAAGAAAGGAUGGCCUCUAUUUAUAAGCUAUCGCCGGAGGAGGGGUUUGCGUCUGAUUAGCUAGUUGGGGGGGUAACGGCCCACCAAGGCGACGAUCAGUAGCCGGUCUGAGAGGAUGAACGGCCACAUUGGAACUGAGACACGGUCCAGACUCCUACGGGAGGCAGCAGUGGGGAAUCUUCCGCAAUGGGCGAAAGCCUGACGGAGCAACGCCGCGUGAGUGAAGACGGCCUUCGGGUUGUAAAGCUCUGUUAUACGGGACGAAUAAUCUUGUGGUUAAUACCCAUGAGAAGUGACGGUACCGUAAGAGAAAGCCACGGCUAACUACGUG